rnacentral:rRNA from 1 species
UACGUAGGGUGCAAGCGUUGUCCGGAAUUAUUGGGCGUAAAGAGCUCGUAGGCGGUCUGUCACGUCGGCUGUGAAAACCUGGGGCUCAACCCCGGGCCUGCAGCCGAUACGGGCAGACUAGAAUUCGGUAGGGGAGAGUGGAAUUCCUGGUGUAGCGGUGAAAUGCGCAGAUAUCAGGAGGAACACCGGUGGCGAAGGCGGGUCUCUGGGCCGAUAUUGACGCUGAGGAGCGAAAGCGUGGGGAGCGAACAGG